rnacentral:lncRNA from 1 species
UAAUAAUAGUAUUUAAGAGAUAGGUGAACCUGAAUUACUUGGCAAUUAAUAAUCAGAAACAGUUUUCUCAGAGAUUUUAAAAAGAUUUGAGCUCAGAAUUUUGCCGUGUUGAAGGACAUGGCCCAAAAGCACACUCAAAGUAAAUACAAAAUCCCAGCUCUGUCACUAGUUGGCUGAGGACAUUGGUCAAGGUAUUGAAAAUGCAGGUCCUCUGGUUUCCUUAUCCAUCACAUGGAAAUAUCAACAGUGCUUCCCUAAUAGGAUUGUUGUGAGAUAUGAGUCUACAUUUGUGCUCAGCACACUGGUACAGAGUAGGCAUUCCAAAAAUGCUAGCUAUUGUUACAGAGGAACGAUGAUUAGACUGAAUAGACAGACUCAUAGAUGUCACUGGCAACAAUGAAUAACAGAAGGUAAGGCACUACUAUUUUUAACGUACUAAAGGAACAAUAAGUAUCAACCUGAAAUUUUAUUAACUCUAGAUAAAUUAUUAAUCAAGGUUGAGAUGAAAGAUAUUUUCAGACCAAAAUCAAAAGUGUUUACAAACACUUUACAAGUCCUAAAAAGGUUUGAAUUCAUAAGGCUGAGUUAUAGGAAACAAAAUUCAUCAUAAAGAGAUAAAAAUAAGCAUUAAUUAGCAAUUGACUAUGCCACUUCCACUAUUUUUUGUGUUGAAAAAAGUUUUAAUUUAAAUUUGAUAAAAAAAAGGAAGGAAGGAAUUAAUCAAUGGGCUGAAAUAUG